rnacentral:sRNA from 1 species
UGAAAAUAUCUUUAUACUCGACCUACAAAAGCUACAAAGACUUACAGGGAGUUUACAGAGGAUUACAGAAGGUUCUAGUCAAAAGGGAACAAUGCUUCAGGACAAACAGACAGAGCGUGGCCCACCACCUCUCCAUUUUGUUCCCCCACGCAUUUCUAAGGAUAAGAAAAUCCCUUCCCUUCUUCCCAACCACUCGAUCCAGCCCUAUCUCCCUUCCCACCGACACCAUCUCUCUUCCUCUCCAAUCACUCGACCUCACCGACUAACUCGACCUCACCGGCUCACUCGACCUCACCGAUCCGGUUUCACCAUCUCUCACCACUUCGUCUUCCUUCUCACUCGACCACAACUCAGCUCUCUCCGCUCACGUCACCACCUUCUCUCUCUCUUUCACUCGACGACGUGACCAGUUUCGCCAUCUCUCAUCACUCUCGUCUCGCCGUUUACUCGACCACCGGACCUUCACCGUCUCUCCAUCGCUUCCGUUUUACUCGACCAAGCUAAAAAUCAGACGGAGAAGCUCUUCACUCGAUUUCUCACAAACCGCUAGAGCUUCUCUCUCUCAUUCUCGCGAACCACUCGAUCGCUCAUCUCUCAACGCCUCUCACUCACUCAACCGGAGUUCACCGUCUCUCAUCACCUCCAUCCACUCGACCUCAUCGUUGCCAUCUCUCAUCAAAACCACCACCGUCUUCUCUCCACUCCGAUUUCUUUCACUCGACCUCACGCCGUUCACUCACCGUAAAGCUCAACUCGACCGCUCAUCAAACCGCCGCUGUUUCCCGGUGAAGAUUACUCGACCUCGCCGGACACACCGCCACCACUCGACCGCAAUCCACCUAGAAACGAAAACCCAAGGCACAAUUUCACACGACCGGUUACUCGACCGGUUUACACGACCUGGUUAUUCCACGGUUUACUCGACCGAGUUACUCUAUCGGUUCGGUCUAUUGGUAUACUCGACCGCUUGUGUUUGUUGGGACUAACAUAUUGACGUUUAUCUUUGAGUUGUAUUUUUUCUCAGGAAAUCAAUAUGAGUAACUACAGUAGCGAAUCCUCUAUGGAUGCGGAUUACAACGUCGAUGAAGCUGAGUCUUGGUCAACUAGACCAGAGAAAGAGCAACAGGCUUGUGAGAGCUUCAGAGGUGACACCCAACGCUCAGUAGCUCGACACAAUGAGAGGAAAGCUGAGAUUGCUAGAGGAAAGAGAGCAAUGACAAGUAGAUGCGAAUUGAUCGACGAAGAUAUUGACGUCGAGUAUGAGCCUGAGUCAUGACACAGAGAGACGAAGCUGUUGAACAGGCCUGAUGAAAUUACAGUUGAGGAGUACAUCAGACUUUUCGAGCUGAACGACUUCUGGGAAUGAGGUAUCCCUGUUAUCAGACUUUAGUCCAGUUGGGGCUACUAGAGGACGUACAGCACUUAUUUGAGAAGUAUCAUCUGGAGACACUGAUGUCUUACCCGUACGUCGCCUACAAAAAGGAAACAAUAGAGUUUCUUCCACUCUGCAAGUGGAGAUGUAUCAGGGACUUACAGCAAAUGAGCUGGAGAGUGAAGGGUUGGGGUUCUUGACUUUUUCAGUGAGCGAGCAGCGCUACCAGUUAUCUGUCAAGAGUCUGGAAGGAUUGUUUGGUUUCCCUAGUGGAAAGGGAACUAAACCCAAGUUCGAGAGGGAAGAGUUGAAGGAUUUGUGGUUAACUAUUGGGAACGAUAUGGCGCUUAACUUUGCGAGGUCGAAGAGUAACCAGAUUCGAAGCCCUGUGAUCCGCUACUAUCAACGCUCUAUAGCGUAUGUUCUGUACUCCAGGGAAUCUACAGGCACCGUGUCUAACAUAGACAUGGAGAUGAUAGAUUCUGCACUCAAGGGCAUUCUCCGCAGAACAAAGGGGAAGAAGGUACUGAAGGGCGACCUCAAUGAUGCACCUCCGAUUAUGCUUCUGUUGAUCCACCUGUGUGGAUACAGGAAGUGGGCGCACACCAACGGGAAGAAGAGGGCGCGAGGAGCAUUUUGGGUAGGAAGUGUUGUGACACUAAUUCUGAUAGCCUGUGGUGUACCUCUCACGUCUCAGGGGUUCGAUCCGAGGAUGAGGGACUUAGAUCACUUGCGUCGUUGUGAGUUUCUAGAGCAUGACAUGGUCGGCGAUUUCUAUCGCUACAAAUUCGAGCACUCCUUGACCCGAACAGCCAACAUUCUGCUUCCCUGCAAUGAAGCCAUAACCAUAUUGCAGGGCGAAAACAUUGAUUUCAAGCCUGAGCGUGAUUAUCUCUACAUUGAGAGCGCUCCACCGACUGAUGACAACGUCCCUACAACAGAAGCUACAGAGGAUGAGAUUGCUGAGACAGAUGAGGAUAAGGAGGAGGAGUACGAUACAAGAAUGUAUCAUUUCAGUGAGCAUGUACCUCCAGCGAGGGAGAGCAAGAGCUUGAGCGAAGCUCACAGAAACAACAGCAAGUUGCAGAAAUGGUGCAAGAAACAAGAUAGGCUACUCAUCAAGUGCUUCAAGGUCAUCAAGUUUUUGACAGACAAGCUAAACUGCUCCUCUUCUACCACAGCUAUUUCGCAGGGACAACCUCCUCAGGACAUGCCCUCGAGGAGAUAUGACGCGCCAGAGCAAAGUCACCACUGGCCUGAGCCAAGUCACCACAGGCCUAAGCCUAGUGACCUAGUAGUCUCACAAGUCCCUGCGAGGCAUUCAUCAUUCGAGCCUCGGGAGCUCGGGAGAAAGAAGAAGGCUGCAGUGGCUCGAUCUAGCAGCAGGAUUACACGACUUCUCCAGUCCCGAAGCUUACGCGACCGUAGUGCUGGCCGCAGUAGAAGAAGAGAGGUCGAGUACCAUCAGAGCGGUGCUGGCUGCAACAAAGGAGCAGAGGUCGAGUACCCCCAGGGCAAAGCUGAGACACAACAGGGAGAUUCUUCAAUGGCCUAGGAGCAAUCACAGGCAACUAUUGACGACCAACUCCGCUCCUUCUUCAACUGAGCUAAGCAUCUCACUUCACCAUUGUAUUAUACCAUCUCUUGUUUUUAUUUUGUUUCUGUGAUGAUUUUUGUCUUGAGUACUCUCUUCCAAGUUUGGUCACACAGUGGACUGUGUGAUUUAAGUUUGGGGAAGGGCUCAGGAAGUGUGUGUUGCAUUGUAUAUAAUCUUGAGUCUGCAUUCAACAAAGGCAUAGAAAAAAACAAAAAAAUUGAAAAAUUUCGGAAAAUGAUUUCACAAAAAUAUAGUGUUCAUGUAGUUGCAUUGCAUUUAGGAUCGAGUCUAAAGUGUUUCAUUUAGGAUUGUUGCAUAUGCAUAUGGGAUAACGAUGAGAUAGCCUUGUAAGCAUUUUGGUUCACCAGAUAAACUCAGUGCCCUCGUUGUGAGUUGUCUGAUGCGUAGUCAAUGAAAUUGAAGUAAAAUUGCACCAUGCCUAGAUUGCUCUACUCGACCACACUGUUAUGAUUUGAUACCAUUCUCUAUCAAUUUGAACUUGAACCUGAUUUAGAAUUAUCAUGUCUUGGCAUCGAAUUUGAACUCAUGAAUACCCUAAAAUACUUGGAUUUUCCUACUCAUUUUAACCACUCUUGUUAAUCCAAGUAGCUGACUCUCCUUAUUAGAGUCGUUAACCCGAACCCAAACCUAAACUUUCUUUCAAGCCCUAUAUCACUUGUGAGUGUUUGUGAGGUCUUAUUUCGAUUGAGCUUGGUAGAAAGUGUUAGGUUUGUAACGAUAGAGAUAGUGUCUCAUGUAGUUCUAGUUCACGUUUUUCAGACUGGAUAGGACUAGGUGGGCGCUUAUAUCAUGGGUUGGGAUGUGUUUAAAAGGAAAGGGUGAAUUCAUUGUUGAUAAGGAAAGGGAAAGAAUUCUAGGGGAAGUAAGCUAAAGAAGUUAGAAAACAAAA